AAUAGAUACCCCGGUAGUCCACGCCGUAAACGAUGAAUGCCAGUCGUCGGGUUGCAUGCAAUUCGGUGACACACCUAACGGAUUAAGCAUUCCGCCUGGGGAGUACGGUCGCAAGAUUAAAACUCAAAGGAAUUGACGGGGGCCCGCACAAGCGGCGGAGCAUGUGGUUUAAUUCGAAGCAACGCGCAGAACCUUACCAACCUUUGACAUCCCUGGACAUCCCGAGAGAUCGGGCUUUCACUUCGGUGACCAGGAGACAGGUGCUGCAUGGCUGUCGUCAGCUCGUAUCGUGAGAUGUUCGGUUAAGUCCGGCAACGAGCGCAACCCACGUCCCUAGUUGCCAGCAUUCAGUUGGGCACUCUAUGGAAACUGCCGAUGAUAAGUCGGAGGAAGGUGUGGAUGACGUCAAGUCCUCAUGGCCCUUACAGGUUGGGCUACACACGUGCUACAAUGGUGGUGACAGUGGGUUAAUCCCCAAAAGCCAUCUCAGUUCGGAUUGUCCUCUGCAACUCGAGGGC
rnacentral:rRNA from 1 species